rnacentral:rRNA from 1 species
UGGCGGCACUAGCGCGGUGGUCCCACCUGACCCCAUGCCGAACUCAGAAGUGAAACGCCGUAGCGCCGAUGGUAGU